UACGGAGGAUGCGAGCGUUAUCCGGAUUUAUUGGGUUUAAAGGGUGCGUAGGCGGGAUGCCAAGUCAGCGGUAAAAAUGCGGUGCUCAACGCCGUCGAGCCGUUGAAACUGGCGUUCUUGAGUGGGCGAGAAGUAUGCGGAAUGCGUGGUGUAGCGGUGAAAUGCAUAGAUAUCACGCAGAACUCCGAUUGCGAAGGCAGCGCACCGGCGCCCUACUGACGCUCAGGCACGAAAGCGUGGGGAUCAAACAGG
rnacentral:rRNA from 1 species